rnacentral:rRNA from 1 species
GACGUAGGGGGCCAGCGUUGCUCGGAAUUACUGGGCGUAAAGGGUUCGUAGGCGGUGCGGUAUGUCGGGGGUGAAAUCUCUGGGCUUAACUCAGAGGCUGCUUCCGAAACUGCCGUGCUCGAGUGCGGGAGAGGCGAGUGGAAUUACAGGUGUAGCGGUGAAAUGCGUAGAUAUCUGUAGGAACACCCGUGGCGAAGGCGGCUCGCUGGACCGCAACUGACGCUGAGGAACGAAAGCUAGGGGAGCAAACAGG